rnacentral:rRNA from 1 species
UACGAAGGGGGCUAGCGUUGCUCGGAAUAACUGGGCGUAAAGGGCGCGUAGGCGGCCAUUCAAGUCGGGGGUGAAAGCCCAGGGCUCAACCCUGGAAUUGCCUUCGAUACUGUUUGGCUAGAGACCGGAAGAGGUAAGUGGAACUGCGAGUGUAGAGGUGAAAUUCGUAGAUAUUCGCAAGAACACCAGUGGCGAAGGCGGCUUACUGGUCCGGUUCUGACGCUGAGGCGCGAAAGCGUGGGGAGCAAACAGG